rnacentral:rRNA from 1 species
GAUGAACGCUGGCGGCGUGCCUAAUACAUGCAAGUCGAGCGAACAGACGAGGAGCUUGCUCCUCUGACGUUAGCGGCGGACGGGUGAGUAACACGUGGAUAACCUACCUAUAAGACUGGGAUAACUUCGGGAAACCGGAGCUAAUACCGGAUAAUAUAUUGAACCGCAUGGUUCAAUAGUGAAAGACGGUUUUGCUGUCACUUAUAGAUGGAUCCGCGCCGCAUUAGCUAGUUGGUAAGGUAACGGCUUACCAAGGCGACGAUGCGUAGCCGACCUGAGAGGGUGAUCGGCCACACUGGAACUGAGGCACGGUCCAGACUCCUACGGGAGGCAGCAGUAGGGAAUCUUCCGCAAUGGGCGAAAGCCUGACGGAGUAACGCCGCGUGAGUGAUGAAGGUCUUCGGAUCGUAAAACUCUGUUAUUAGGGAAGAACAAAUGUGUAAGUAACUAUGCACGUCUUGACGGUACCUAAUCAGAAAGCCACGGCUAACUACGUG